UAGGGAAUCUUCGGCAAUGGACGAAAGUCUGACCGAGCAACGCCGCGUGAGUGAAGAAGGUUUUCGGAUCGUAAAACUCUGUUGUUAGAGAAGAACAAGGACGUUAGUAACUGAACGUCCCCUGACGGUAUCUAACCAGAAAGCCACGGCUAACUACGUGCCAGCAGCCGCGGUAAUACGUAGGUGGCAAGCGUUGUCCGGAUUUAUUGGGCGUAAAGCGUGCGCAGGCGGUUUCUUAAGUCUGAUGUGAAAGCCCCCGGCUCAACCGGGGAGGGUAAUUGGAAACUGGGAGACUUGAGUGCAGAAGAGGAGAGUGGAAUUCCAUGUGUAGCGGUGAAAUGCGUAGAUAUAUGGAGGAACACCAGUGGCGAAGGCGGCUCUCUGGUCUGUAACUGACGCUGAGGCUCGAAAGCGUGGGGAGCAAACAGG
rnacentral:rRNA from 1 species